rnacentral:tRNA from 1 species
GCUCCUGUAGUGUAGUCCGGUCAAUCAUUCCGGCUUUUCGAGCCGGGGACCCGGGUUCGAAUCCCGGCGGGAGCG